rnacentral:lncRNA from 1 species
CCAGAAAGGCCUCUCAGGAAGGCAACAGUGCAUGGCGACUCUUUACCCCUUCGCCCGCCUCCUGAUCUACGUACUCGCCUAUUCCUGCGUUUACUCGUGUUUGUACAUGUUGGUUUACUUUCUUCGCAUUUUUGUAGAGGAUUAGGCAGCCAAGCUGGACCAAAGUCACCAGGGUGGUGAAGGCCCGGCCCACCGCCGAAGAAAUGGCCAAUUUCUUUCAAAUGCUGUAUACUGGAAAAAUCCAAAGGACUCAUCAGAUGAACACAUUUCAAAGAGCCACUACCAAUUUUUUUUCUUAAGCAAAGCAUCAAGCCUCUGAUUUGCCGCUGAUAAAUUCUCUAAAUAAGCACUUGGAACAGAAAGGAGCUCUACCCAACUACCCGGAAUGCAGGCGGGCCUGGGACUAUGUGACUACCACCCUCUAAGUGAGGUUUUGAAAAUAAACACUUGAAAGUCUGCC